CUAUUAUUUGUUCAAAACAUAUUCAUAGAGUUGCCACUGUAACAACUUGGAAAGUAGAUUAAAAUCACACCAUCCCUUUCCACCCCCCAGUAAAUAACUUUGCAUUUCAAUGCCUCCCAGAACAUUUCAGGAAUAAUCAACAGGACUCAGAUUUUUCUUUUUCAGCUUGAAGGCAAGAAGUUUGAAUGAUAGGGUUGUCAAGUCUUGGAAGAUUGGACUAAACUCUUCCCUCUCCUGCCCCUCAAAGGACUACCUCUGUCCUGAAGACGGAAUUUCCAACUGUUGCUGGACACUUUCACUCUGCUGUGCUAUGGCUGAGCCUUUCUUCUGAAGAAACUCCGUUCCCCCCUGCAAUGCAGGCUUUGGAAAGACAAGAUGUUUCUUAAGAAGUUUCUGAAAUGAAUAGUCACCAUCUGGAGCCAUUUACAAUAAGAAGAAGCCACCGAAGCAGUGUUCAAGAAGCUACCUCCUGAGAGCUGUGUUGCUGGAGAAGAUAGGGGAGCACAGAACAUUCAUGGAUUUCAUUCUCGUCAGUCAAGUUACUCCCCAUGGCCAUCAGUUAUCAGAAACUCACUCUGAAACAGUUUUAAAAAUUUGCAUGUUAGGGGCACCUGGAUAGCUCAGUCAUUAAGC
rnacentral:lncRNA from 1 species